rnacentral:rRNA from 1 species
UUAUAAGAGACAGCAGCCGCCGCGGUAAUACGUAGGUGGCAAGCGUUGUCCGGAAUUAUUGGGCGUAAAGGGCUAGCAGGCGGUUUCUUAAGUCUGAUGUGAAAGCCCCCGGCUCAACCGGGGAGGGUCAUUAGAAACUGGGAAACUUGAGUGCAGAAGAGGAGAGUGGAAUUCCACGUGUAGCGGUGAAAUGCGUAGAGAUGUGGAGGAACACCAGUGGCGAAGGCGACUCUCUGGUCUGUAACUGACGCUGAGGAGCGAAAGCGUGGGGAGCGAACAGGAUUAGAUACCCCGGUAGUCCCUGUCUCUUAUAA